UGGGGAAUAUUGCACAAUGGAGGGAACUCUGAUGCAGCGACGCCGCGUGAACGAAGAAGGCUUUCGAGUCGUAAAGUUCUUUUAUAUGGGAAGAUAAUGACGGUACUAUAAGAAAAAGCCCCGGCUAACUACGUGCCAGCAGCCGCGGUAAUACGUAGGGGGCUAGCGUUGUCCGGAAUCACUGGGCGUAAAGGGUUCGCAGGCGGAAAUGCAAGUCAGGUGUAAAAGGCAGUAGCUUAACUACUGUAAGCAUUUGAAACUGCAUAUCUUGAGAAGAGUAGAGGUAAGUGGAAUUUUUAGUGUAGCGGUGAAAUGCGUAGAUAUUAAAAAGAAUAACGGUGGCGAAGGCGACUUACUGGGCUCAUUCUGACGCUGAGGAACGGAAGCGUGGGUAGCAAACAGG
rnacentral:rRNA from 1 species